rnacentral:lncRNA from 1 species
AGUGGGCGGUGCGCAGGCGCAGCUGCUGCGGCUCCUGAAAUCCUCCGGUGUGAACUUCUCCCAGGGCUGUUGAUGCUUCAUCUACUCUUCUGGCAGUGGGGGCCUGGACCUUAGUUACCCGGGAAGCGUGAGUCAUGUUGCACAGUUGAGCUGGCACAUAAAACUACGAGGACAGAGAGCCAAGGAGUGGACCAACAUGCCUGAGUUUACACAGUGGACCUGAGGACCGUCACCUCCCAGUGCAAUGUUCCUGUGUACUGCCACUGAAGAGACAGGUGGGAGGGAGCUCAAGGUUGACUUGCCUAACAACCAUUGCUUGAAAGACAAAGCUCCCAAGGAGAGCACAAAAUACCUCACUCGAGACUCCUCUGCAUCACCAACCAGUGUGAAGAAAGCCUGCAGCUGUCAGCAGAGUAUUCUUUGUCUCGGUGACACGCUGUGCCUACAGUUGGACUAGAAACUUUGGAUUAGGGUGUGAGUCGUGCCCCAUAGGACAGAGGUGGUGCAUGUAGCCUCAUUUUGGAGUUUAUUUAGAGAGGAGAAAGAAUGUACCAUAGUCCCCAAAGGCUCUAGGUUACAGUGAAUUCUCUUUAGUUCAGUUAUAGUUUAGUUUAGCUUGGUUUGGUUAGCUGUGGUUCCGUUCUGUUCCGUUCUGUUCUGUUCGGUUCAGUUCGGUUCAGUUGCAGAGUUGUUGCUCUUUCAUGCUUUGCAUCCCAACUCCCUGCUCUCUCUUGGCUUUGGUUCCCAUCAGGUCCAGAAUAAAUGGCAAGGAGAGGGUCAUAGAACAAGUUAAACGAUGCUUUUUAUUGGCAGGAUUGGGACUAAAGAGAUCAGGAGUAAGACUGGGAAUAAGUAUGCCAACUUAGGGUGUGGGGUAAAAUAAAUAGUAACCGGUGAGGGUCUCCAACCCAA